GUUAGCUAAGUUUUUGACUGACUAGGCUCAUUCUUAUUCACAUUGCAUUUCAGGCGGAGAGGGAGUUGGAUCACAGAAAGCCGCAUGCUGCAGACAGACCAGGGCCCGUAUUCACAAAGCAUCUCAGAGUAGCAGUACUGAUUUAGGGUCAGUUUUGCUUUUAAAGACCACAAUGAAUAUGAUUAAAUUGACAAGGGAGCGCUGGUCCUAGAUCAAUAUUCCUACUCUUAAGACGCUUUGUGAAUACGGGGCCCUGGAAUUAAGCUGUUGCCUAAUACAUUGCACAGCAGUCGUUUCACCACAGAGGCCAAUGCAUGCCGUGACAGGGGCCCGGAAGAUGACAUCUUCAAGCUACCUGACUGAACACUGGAGCCUUCAGUGCUACCGGAAGCCCUAUCUGGGAGCACAGCAACAGUCUCUCUCUCACAACUAUUCUGUCAACAUGUAUUGUACGUAACCACUCAAAUUCAUACAGGGAAAAGCAUUGACUUGUAUAGGCACUUUGUCCAUUUGACCCAUUCUUCAAUCUUCAGUACAUUUUAGUUGACACGCCUGGGUGAUGUGUCUGCUAUACAUGAAUAAAAAGGCAUUCACCCUGGACAUAAGACCAGCGCUGAUUUGAGACAUUUCAAAUCAUAAACUCUAAGUGCUUUCUUAAAUGUUGAAUUUACCACAGAAGUCCUAAAUAAACUGAAGACCGACAUGCGAAACAUGAAAAGUUAUUGUUUUGUAAUCUAACAACUGAAAAAUGAAAAAUGAGUUGUUUAUACACAACUUGCAUCUGGUCAUGCCCAAAUGUGGCCAUUGAAGGCCUUGAUAGAUCCAUCCUUCCCCGGGGAACUGUCUGUGGAUAGCUGACAACAGGGUGGCAGGUUUUUUCAUGUGCUGCUCUUUCCUUGUCAUCAGCCAGCCUUAGCUCGGACAACACCUGCCAGUCUGCACAGCGUGAUAUCAACCCAGAGCAUAUUGGACUCCUUCUCUCUACCAUAUCACCGGAUUCCUGCCCGUCUGGAUCUCAUUACACCGGAUCAUUACAGCUAGCUAGCUGCAAACAAGUGGCUAGUGUUAGCUAACACCUCUGUCCCGAAGCAAGCAUCAGCUUGACUUGAGCUAGCCUCGAGCUAGGCCCAUAUACCAGCUAAUUCUAUGGCUACAAUACCUCCUUUGCCAAUUGGCUUGGACCCUUUAUUGUCAACACGGAGCCCCGCCAAUCCAUUACGACUGGACUGCCGAUGUGAUCGUCCAAUUUGGUCUCAACAGGCUAUUAUUUUCUGAUGUUGCCGAAGAACCAUCUACUAGCCCCGGCCUGCUAGCUUUUCUGUAUGCUGCGUCCCCAGCUCGCAUAGCGUAGUAGUGACUACCGAACAGCACCCUGCCUCACCUAUUGCUGCUCUUUUGACCCUAUGAUCACUCGGCUACACAGCUGUUGCCCCCUGAACUGUUUCAAUAACAUGGUACCUCAUUUUGUUUACCUGUCGGCCCCAGCCUCGAACUCAGGUCCUAUGUUUACCUAACUGACCCGCUCUGCCCAUUCAUCUCCAUUUACCCGUUGUUGUCUUAGCUCUCUUGAUCAACACCUGUGAUUGCUUGAUGCUUCUCUCUAAUGUCAAUAUGAAUUAUCUACUGCUAUCUUGGCUAGUUUUUACUGUUUUAUUUCACUGUAGAGCCUUCAGUCCCGCUCAAAAUGCCUUAGAUAGCUCUUUCGUCCCACCUCACACACAUGCAUAGACCUCACCUGGCUUAACUUGUCCACCCAAAGACGAAACCUCUCUCAUCGUCACUCAACGCCUAGGGUUACCUCCACUGUACUCACAUCCUACCAUACCCUUGUCUGUACAUUAUGCUUUGAAUCUAUUCUACAAUGCCCAGAAACCGGCUCCUUUAUUCUCUGUCCCCAACGCACUAGAUGACCAGUUCUUUAGCCUUUAGCCGUACCCUUAUCCUACACCUCCUCUGUUCCUCUGGUGAUGUAGAGGUUAACCCAGGUCCUAUAGCCCCCAGUUACACUCCUAUUCCCCAGGCGCUAUCAUUUGUUGACUUCUGUAACAGUAAAAUCAUUGGUUGUUUAUCCCAUGUGUAACUCUGUGUUGUUUCUGUAGCACUGCUUUGCUCUAUCUUGGCCAGGUUGCAUUUGUAAAUGAGAACAUGUUCUCAACUGGCCUACCUGGUUAAAUAAAGGUGAAAUAAAUAAAA